GUUCUGAAUGUGAAAAGCCCCCCGGCUCAACCGGGGAGGGUCAUUGGAAACUGGGGAACUUGAGUGCAGAAGAGGAGAGUGGAAUUCCACGUGUAGCGGUGAAAUGCGUAGAGAUGUGGAGGAACACCAGUGGCGAAGGCGACUCUCUGGUCUGUAACUGACGCUGAGGAGCGAAAGCGUGGGGAGCGAACAGGAUUAGAUACCCUGGUAGUCCACGCCGUAAACGAUGAGUGCUAAGUGUUAGGGGGUUUCCGCCCCUUAGUGCUGCAGCUAACGCAUUAAGCACUCCGCCUGGGGAGUACGGUCGCAAGACUGAAACUCAAAGGAAUUGACGGGGGCCCGCACAAGCGGUGGAGCAUGUGGUUUAAUUCGAAGCAACGCGAAGAACCUUACCAGGUCUUGACAUCCUCUGACAAUCCUAGAGAUAGGACGUCCCCUUCGGGGGCAGAGUGACAGGUGGUGCAUGGUUGUCGUCACCUCGUGUCGUG
rnacentral:rRNA from 1 species